CGGCGGCGGCAGCGCCGUGCAGCGCGGAGCGGGGGCUGCGCACUCCCAGAGCGAGCGGCGAUGUGGAGAGCCGCGUGGUGUGUCCCAGAGCCGCAGAGUAUGUCUGUGCACUGAGAGUGCCCUGAGUCCUCCGCAGCCGGCGCGGGAGGAGACGCCCCGUUGAUGCGCGUUCCCGUCUGAGCGUCCCCGGUGCCCGGCGGGCUGGUGCUACCAGAAGGGCUUUGGGGGUCUUUUGCUGUGGCAUUGGGGGUGGGGUUUUUUUGGGGUUUUUUUCAUCCUUUUUUUUUUUUUUUUUUUUUUUUUUUUUUUUAAAUUUUGGGGUUGGUUUCGCUGUUGUGCUCCGAGCACCAUGUCAAAUUCGGGCUCCCACCAAGACACUGGGAACAAGCCAGAGACGGAAAAAAAUAACCAGGAUGACUCUCAACCCCCCGUCAACUCCGAGAGGAGGAACAAAAGUGGAAUAAUAAGUGAACCUUUGAACAAAAGUCUUAAGAAGUCCCGUCCACUCUCCCACUAUUCCACCUUUGGUAGCAGCAGCUCGGUAAGCGAACAUUCAGAGAAAGGCAACCCCUUAGCUAAUGGCAACGAUGCGAUUGUGGAUAAAAGUCAUUCUACCUCAAAGCACAAAAACAUCUCUAGUAUGCUGAGCAAAUUAGACCGGAUGUCGGAGCUCUCCUCAGAAGGACAGACCGCCCUCCAACAGUUUGCUCAGUCGACAGAAAUGCUCAAAAGAGUGGUACAGGAGCAUCUUCCUCUAGCAGGCGAGCACGGGACUGGUAUCUCUGACAUGGAGGCAGUCUCAGCUGCAGAGACAAUGAACGGCCCCUCUGAUUUUCCUUACCUGGGGGCUUUUCCCAUCAACCCAGGCCUUUUCAUUAUGACCCCUGCCGGCGUGUUUCUGGCAGAGAGCGCGCUCCAUAUGGCUGGCUUGGCAGAGUAUCCCAUGCAGAAUGAGUUGGCAUCUGCCAUCAAUUCGGGGAAAAAGAAACGGAAAAGAUGCGGCAUGUGCCCGCCCUGCCGAAGACGGAUAAACUGCGAGCAGUGCAGCAGUUGUAGGAAUCGCAAAACUGGCCACCAGAUUUGCAAAUUCCGAAAAUGUGAAGAACUCAAAAAGAAGCCUUCUGCAGCACUGGAGGUAACCGGCCCCUCUCAGGCACCCUAACCCCUCCUCGGGCUGCGCUCCUGGGUUCGGAUCUUGCCCUAGAUAAUAAAAUACCUGAAGGUGAUGCUUCCUACAGGAGCCGCGUUCAGAUGGUUCCAGUAGGAACGGGAAUCCCAAAGCUCUGUCAUCCAAGUGCAAUGUCACUGCUUGCUUGUGUUGUCUCAGGCAAGGGAUUUUUGGCUGAAAUGAAUGGAUGCACCUGUGUCUCUUUAGAACCAAAAAUAUUUUCUCGCAAAUCUCAUUCCUGUUUUUAUAAUUUUUUUUUCUUCUUUUUUUUUCUUUUUUUUUUUUUUGCGUUCGUUUUAACAUCUUCGAGUCCUAGUCAGACAUUUAACUGCUUUUCAAAUAAAAAACAAAAAAAAAAUAAUUAAAAGAAAAAAACAAUGGAUCUGUAAAGUACCAAGACUUAAUAGACAGAGUAUGGACAAUCAGUUUCUUUCUGUGUUUUGGUGUUGAUGUUGUUUAUGUGUGAAAGAUGCAGUACUUGUGUAGGGAAUGUAAAUUUACAGUAACCUUUUAAAAUCUAGUUACUAAUAAGCACUACUGUAAUUUAGCACAGUUGUUUAAUUGCACCCUCAUUUAUACUUUUUAUUUGAUUCUUUCCCAUCAUACAAUAGAGUGGAUAGUUUCUAGAAUGCCUCAACUUCAUGUUUAUAAAUGAGAAUAUGUUUAAAGCGAUGUAGUAUCCCUUCUCCUCGCCAUUCACCUCUGGAAAGUUUAACCCACAAGAGGGUUGGUAUAAAAGGUUGAAGAAAACAAUUGCUACACAACCGGCGGAAUUCAAAAAAAAAAAAAAAGGAAAAAAAAAAAGAGUAAAAAAAAGUCAAAAAAAAAAGUCAUUGUUAGUUUAUUAAUAUAGAACCAGAAAUGCUGCGUACAGAAAAUCCUCCUAAUUGCAACGGUUUACUCCUAGAAGUAAUUUUUGUAAACUUACGGAAGUUCAAAUCAAAAUAAACCAGAAUAUUGCAGGACCUGUGCUGAAGCAGUUACGCAAAGUGAUAUUUCUCUUCUGUUCACCCCCCCCCCGUCUCUCCAGCUCUCUCUCCAUCAUUAAAUUGAAAUGCUGUUUGUAAUGUUUUAGCGAUCCAGGCUGUUUUUGUGAAUAAAAUGAAUGCAUGUUUUGUGUCAUGA